GACGAACGCUGGCGGCGUGCUUAAUACAUGCAAGUCGAACGGAGAAUCUAUACCUUGCUUUGCUGCAUCAGUGACGGACGGGUGAGUACGGGGGGAGCAACCGGCCGUAACCUCUGGAAUAGGGGGGGGAAACGGUGGGUAAUACUAGCUAAUAGCACAUAAUGCAUGUUCUCGCUCGGGAAAUUAUUUAGGGUGGGAAUGGGCCCGCGGCCUAGUAGCUUGUCGGUGAGGUAACUGGUCAGUAAGGCGACGGCGGGUAGCCGGCCUGAGAGGGCGACGGGCCACACUGGGACUGAGACACGGGCAAGAGUGCUACGGGAGGCAGAAGUGGGGAAUAGUGCACGAUGGGCGAAAGCCUGGUGCAGCGACGCCGCGUGGGGGAUGACGGUCGUCGGGUUGUAAACCGCUUUCAGCUGGGAAGAAGCGAAAGUGACGGUACCUGCAGAAGAAGCACCGGCUAACUACGUG
rnacentral:rRNA from 1 species